rnacentral:rRNA from 1 species
AUGGCUGAUACCCCAGCAUGCUCCUUAUGUGGGGCGGUAGAGGAUACAUGGCGUCAUUCACUACUCAAUUGCCGCCUGGCAAGAUGUGUGUGGGCGUUGGAAGAUGAUGAUCUGGUGGGGCAUGUGAUCUCAAACCAAACGGAGGAUCCUAAGCUAUGGCUGUUCUGGCUUUUCGAAACAACCAACCAGCAGGACCUAGCUCGAGUUUUGGUAACUAUGUGGGCAAUUUGGUGGGCUCGAAGGAAGGCAAUCCAUGAGAAUGAAUACCAGAGCCCGCUGUCAACUAUGUGCUUUAUCAAUAGAUUCAUGGAAGAUCUGGAGAUAGCCAAUAUGCGCAGCCACCAGAAAAUCAAGGGAAGUACGGCUAGACCUCAUGCAAAAGUCUGGCUACCACCACCCGGCGAUGCAGCAAAGUUUAACUGUGAUGGUGGCCUAUCAUCUUUGGGGGAAAAGGGAGCAACUGGAGUUGUAUGUCGGGAUAAAAAUGGGAAAUACUUAGGUGCGUCGGCGGUGGUGUACGAAGGCCUAUCUGACCCGGCAAGCUUGGAGGCUCAAGCAUGCAGCGAGGCACUAGCCCUCGCACGGGAUCUGAACCUACAGGAGCUUGUGAUUGCCUCAGACUGUGUCGAAGUAAUAACUAAUAUCAGCAACGCAGGAUCGCCAUCUUAUGCUCCCAUUCCGAGGGAAAUCCAAACUAGUAGGGCAAACUUUACAUCUGUUUCUUUCCGCUUUGAAAGUAGAGUUAAUAAUUUUGAGGCCCAUUCGCUUGCUAAGGGAGCUGCGUCUCUCGCGGUGGGUCGCCAUGUGUGGCUAGGGGUUCUGCCAGAUAUUGCUUGUAUUCCGGAUGUUUUGAACUUUGAAUAA